CUACAGGCAAGGCGGAAGCGAAUACCACUUCUCCUGGCGCCACGACAACGGCCGGAAGUACCCCUGGGAACACGCGGUCCGGUACUGCUCCUCCCUCGGCCACGGCUGGAGCGGCAUCAGCAUCGAGACCCACGAGGAGGACCGAUCCGUCAGCAACAUCAUUACUGGGGACGGACUGGAGUACAUCUGGACGGGAGGUUAUCGCAGCGGCUACGACUUCGCUUGGCCCUCCAGAGCUCCGUUCGUCGGCCUGAACUGGUCCCAUACUGGAGCCACCGGCCACCCCCAACCGGACAACCGCGAGCAAGGGGGCGAGAACUGCCUGGCUGUCCUGAACAACUUCUACGACGACGGGGUCAGGUGGCACGACGUCGGCUGCCACCACGAGAAGCCCAUCAUCUGCGAACGCCAGGGACGCGUCUAUGGGUAAACGAAGAGGAUCGAACACUUUUUUUCUCUCUCUCGUUCGCGUUUAUAGAUGAAUGGAAAGGAUCGAACACUUUUUUUUCUCUCUCUCGUUCGUGUUUAUAGGUGAAAGAAGAGGAUCGAACACUUUUUAAUCUCUCUCGUUCGCGUUUAUAGGUGAAUAGAAAGGAUCGAACACUUUUUUUCUCUCUCUCGAUUGCGUCUAUAGGUGAAAGAAGAGGAUCGAACACUUUUUUCUCUCUCUCUCGGUUGCGUCUAUAGGUGAACGAAGAGGAUCGAACACUUUUUUUUUUUCUCUCUCUCUCGAUUGCGUCUAUAGGGAAAGAAGAGGAUCGAACACUUUUUUAAUCUCUCUCGUUCGCGUUUAUAGGUGAAUGUAAAGGAUCGAACACUUUUUUUCUCUCUCGAUUGCGUCUAUAGAUGAACGAAGAGAAUCGAACACCUCUAUUUCCUCAAGGCUUGUUUUUAAAAGGUUCGGAUGAGAAUGGAAUUUCGAACUGGAAAAAAUAUAUAUAUACAAAUGGAAAGUAAAAAUAUAUAGCUUAUCAUCACUAAAUUGAUUUUUCUUAAUCUUUUGUCCUGGAUUAUGAAAAAA